CCUACGGGAGGCAGCAGUGGGGAAUAUUGCGCAAUGGGGGAAACCCUGACGCAGCAACGCCGCGUGAGUGAGGAAGGACUUCGGUCUGUAAAGCUCUGUUAAUGUGGAAAAAAUGGUAGUUGGUCUAAUAGGCCGAUUAUUUGAUGGUACACAUAGAGGAAGCACCGGCUAACUUCGUGCCAGCAGCCGCGGUAAUACGAAGGGUGCAAGCGUUGUUCGGAUUUAUUGGGCGUAAAGCGCGCGUAGGCGGACCUGUAAGUCAGAUGUGAAAUCUCGGGGCUCAACCUCGAAACUGCGUCUGAAACUGCAGGUCUAGAAUCUCGGAGGGGGAAGGGGAAUUUCGCAUGUAGGGGUAAAAUCCGUAGAUAUGCGAAGGAACACCAGAGGCGAAGGCGCCUUCCUGGACGAGUAUUGACGCUGAGGCGCGAAAGCGUGGGGAUCAAACAGGAUUAGAUACCCUGGUAGUCCACGCUGUAAACUAUGAACACUAGGUAUUGGAGGAUUUGACCCCUUCAGUGCCGUAGCUAACGCGUUAAGUGUUCCGCCUGGGAAGUACGGUCGCAAGCUAAAACUUCAAAUGAAUUGACGG
rnacentral:rRNA from 1 species